rnacentral:rRNA from 1 species
AUGCAAAUCGAGGGGCAGCAUGGUCUUAGCUUGCUAAGGCUGAUGGCGACCGGCGCACGNGGUGAGUAACACGUAUCCAACCUGCCGUCUACUCUUGGCCAGCCUUCUGAAAGGAAGAUUAAUCCAGGAUGGGAUCAUGAGUUCACAUGUCCGCAUGAUUAAAGGUAUUUUCCGGUAGACGAUGGGGAUGCGUUCCAUUAGAUAGUAGGCGGGGUAACGGCCCACCUAGUCAACGAUGGAUAGGGGUUCUGAGAGGAAGGUCCCCCACAUUGGAACUGAGACACGGUCCAAACUCCUACGGGAGGCAGCAGUGAGGAAUAUUGGUCAAUGGGCGAUGGCCUGAACCAGCCAAGUAGCGUGAAGGAUGACUGCCCUAUGGGUUGUAAACUUCUUUUAUAAAGGAAUAAAGUCGGGUAUGCAUACCCGUUUGCAUGUACUUUAUGAAUAAGGAUCGGCUAACUCCGUGCCAGCAGCCGCGGUAAUACGGAGGAUCCGAGCGUUAUCCGGAUUUAUUGGGUUUAAAGGGAGCGUAGAUGGAUGUUUAAGUCAGUUGUGAAAGUUUGCGGCUCAACCGUAAAAUUGCAGUUGAUACUGGAUGUCUUGAGUGCAGUUGAGGCAGGCGGAAUUCGUGGUGUAGCGGUGAAAUGCUUAGAUAUCACGAAGAACUCCGAUUGCGAAGGCAGCCUGCUAAGCUGCAACUGACAUUGAGGCUCGAAAGU